UUUCAGAUUAUGAUGUACCAAUCUAGAAGCAGAACAAAAUUGUUGUUUUUUUUAAAAUACAGUUAUAGAACAAAAUACUAUUCUCUCAAAUGUAACAACAUUUGUAACCAUAUCAUUCCUAACAAAUCAUACACAAACAUACACUAUAUGGAUUACCAGUUACUUAGAGCAGAUCUAGUAGAUGUGUUCAAACCUUUCAAAAUUAUUGUAUUAGGAUGCAGGAGAUUUUUUGCACAUAAAGAUCUAGGUGUUUUUUUAAGUAAAACUACUGUGCUACCAGGAGCUCUUUAUGUUAAGCAAAAGAAGUUGCAUUUAUGCAGAUCAAAGAUGAACUACAUAGGGUAUCAGAAAAAUGUGUCUUAAAAGUCAAACAUACCUGGUACUCCAUACCCCUCACCCCCAAAAAAAAAUAAAUAAAAGGUAAUAAGUAUUGACCCCGAAGCAAAUUUGAAGUUCUUUUAGAACUGAGCUCAAAAAAUUAAUUUUCUAAAAAAAUAUAAUUGAUUACAAGAAAAAGCUUUUCAAAAAUAGUUAUAGUUCUGACUUUGGUAUAGAGAUUUUUAACAUUAGUGGAAUUUUUAAACAAAUAACCUUAAAAGUAUUAAUGAAUAUAACAUUGGUACAAACAUAUAUAAAAUUUAUUUACCUUGACCCUGUAACAUGCAACAGAC